CGACAAGGGGGAGGCAGGGAGGCCACUUCCCGGAGGCUGCAAGGCAAAUGAGCCCCUCCCCGGCCCCGCGAAGUAGCCCUGCUGAGGAAGGAAGCGAAGGCUCAAGUCUUGUGACCGAGGAGGAAGAGAAGCAGCCCCCUCCAUGUGAGCAGCUCCGGUGUGAAAUCGAAAAGUAGUCCCGAUUCCCACCAAAGCUACUGGGUUGUUUUUUUUCACACACUAUCAGCUGCCUUCUCUGCUACACUUUGCUACCCCCCACCCGCCCUCUUCCCCAUUUCAUUGUCCAAUAAAUGGGAAUGUCCUCA